rnacentral:rRNA from 1 species
UAGGGAAUCUUCGGCAAUGGGGGCAACCCUGACCGAGCAACGCCGCGUGAGUGAAGAAGGUUUUCGGAUCGUAAAGCUCUGUUGUAAGAGAAGAACGUGUGUGAGAGUGGAAAGUUCACACAGUGACGGUAACUUACCAGAAAGGGACGGCUAACUACGUGCCAGCAGCCGCGGUAAUACGUAGGUCCCGAGCGUCGUCCGGAUUUAUUGGGCGUAAAGCGAGCGCAGGCGGUUUAAUAAGUCUGAAGUUAAAGGCAGUGGCUUAACCAUUGUUCGCUUUAGAAACUGUUAAACUUGAGUGCAGAAGGGGAGAGUGGAAUUCCAUGUGUAGCGGUGAAAUGCGUAGAUAUAUGGAGGAACACCGGUGGCGAAAGCGGCUCUCUGGUCUGUAACUGACGCUGAGGCUCGAAAGCGUGGGGAGCAAACAGG